rnacentral:lncRNA from 1 species
CCUCACUAUGGCUUUCUUAUUGGCUGAGACUGAUUUGCCAGCAUUGGAUAUGGAUGUGUAUAUUGUUAAACAGUUCUUUGUCUCUAGCUUCAUUACUAGAGAUGAUAUAUACUCAUUCUUGGUUGCAUGUUCUAUAAUUACAUUUAACUCUCUAGUUUUUGCUUCAUAUAUUGUAUAUUCUGUCCUUAUGCACUGGAGAUUAAGUACAGAAUGGCAGCAAUAAAAGCACUUCUCUAGUGCAUAAGAACACACUGUACAACAAUAUAUACUGUAUAAUAAUACAGGAAACAAGAAAGUAUACAUCAGAAGUAUGAAGAGAAGUUUAAAAACAAGACUACUUGAACGUAAACAGGACAUAGUCAGUGAAAACUUGGACACCGUGCUUACACAAAGAUUUUAUGAAACAGAUCGCUCCAAAGACUGGUGGGGAAAAGCACGCAUUAUUAACCAUAUGAGAAAUGCUAAGGAGUUGAAACUUCCAGAAGCCUUUGAAAUAUAUAAUUGGAAAAAUAAAACAUACAUUAUGAAUGGACCGACUUCAGAAGUUAUACAUCUAGGCAAAUGAAAAUCAGUAACAUAACUAUGCUCCUUCCAUACC